UACGUAGGGUGCAAGCGUUAAUCGGAAUACUGGGCGUAAAGCGUGCGCAGGCGGUUGUGCAAGACAGAUGUGAAAUCCCCGGGCUCAACUUGGGAAUUGCAUUUGUGACUGCACGGCUAGAGUGUGUCAGAGGGGGGUAGAAUUCCACGUGUAGCAGUGAAAUGCGUAGAGAUGUGGAGGAAUACCGAUGGCGAAGGCAGCCCCCCUGGGAUAACACUGACGCUCAUGCACGAAAGCGUGGGGAGCAAACAGG
rnacentral:rRNA from 1 species